rnacentral:tRNA from 1 species
GAGGGUAUUGCUCAGUGGUGGAAUGCAUACUUAGCAUGCAUGAGGUCCUGGGUUCAAUCCUCAGUACCUCCA